rnacentral:lncRNA from 1 species
UGAAUUGGGAUGAGGGGCCAAGACAAAGCAGAAAUCUGCUGCAGAGAGCAGGAAAGAUAAAGGAUAUUCUGCAGCAGGAUCUGGGCAAGUGGCACUCAUCCAUAUCCUUUGCAUUGCAAAGAGAGGAGCUACUUCCUUCCUUUUUAUUUUCCAGUUUAUUGGUGGCUCUUAGAACCUCUGAGAACUAACUGAUUUUGACCUCUUAACAGUUGCCUUUCAACUACCAUUCAUCCACUGCAAGCCUACUGUGUAACAGGCCCUUUUUAGCCAUUUCAGAUAUUAUUGUCUCUUGCCCAGCUUCAAGUGACUCUCUUAGGGAGGGAUUAGCCUCACCUCACUAGUAUGGAAAUGGAGACUUGGAGUAAUCAAGUGACUUGCUCUGAAUUACACAGCUGGGAAGUGGUGAAGCUGGAAUUCAACUCAAGUUAUGUCUAGAUCUAAAACUCAUGCUCUUUUCUAUGCUCAAAGCUGCAUUUCAAAAUUGAACUUUAGCAUGGAGUCUAUGAUGACUGGCUCAUGUCUCUCCACCCAGCACCUAGCCCAAGGCCAAGCACAGAGAAGGCUCACAGUGGACACUUUUGGAAUGAGUAGAUUUUGUAUGGAAUGGUCGAGCACACUGAACUACCUGGAGUAAAGGGGCAUCAUGUCUGAAACUGAUGCUUAAGUGGCUCAGAAAAAAAAUUCUGGGAGCUAGAGGGAGAGAGAGACAGAGGAGUGUGGUAAAAAGUUAUCAUUUGGGGGGUCUGCGUAAAAGGUAUAUGAGGAUUCUUUGUACGGAUUUUGCAACUUUUCUCCCAGUCUGAAAUUAUGUCAAAAUAUAAAAUUAAAAGGCAAAAUUAAAAGAAUGAGUGAGAGUUUACUAGGUAGAGAAGCAGAAGGAUCUUCUGGUAAAGGAACAGGAUAAGCAAAAGCAUCACAAGUGUGCGAGUCUUCUGUGUUGACAAACAAGCCCUGACUCUGAAUAUCCAGGACUAGCAUGGUGUGGGGAGACGGGGAUUAGAGGGAUAACGAGCAGCAUAACCCACAAAUGGACACAUUUCCCUGCUACCUAAGAUUAGAAGUAAAGACUUUAGGCCUACAUUAUACCCAGCCUCAAGAGUUGCAAGACAUAACAUGAGUUCUCAUGGCGGCUCAGUCUUUGCAUUGGCAGUGUCUCUUCAUCCAGUGACUGUGUGGAACAAUGGAAACCCGAGAAUCAUGGCUGAAAGGGACAUCUAGUCCAACUCUCUCAUUUUGCAGAAGGGACAACUAAGAUGCAAAAUGAAGAAGAGAUUUGCAAGGUCCCAGCAAAGGUUAGUGUUAAAACUGGCCUCU